rnacentral:sRNA from 1 species
AACUAAACACAUGAUACUACAAAGGGUAGGAGUGGUGCAGAACGCCAACUACUGUGUAAACCAUGGAAACUUCCUUGGCUAGUGCUGUACUCCCAAAGCCCUUGCCAUGUAAAUGCCAACUAUGUCUGUGUGAAAUAAUAACUUGGACCAUCUUAAGGCUUUUUUUCCACAAAGUCCUUGUGGAAUUUGAAAUCAUUUUUGUGGCUGCUGAGAAUGACAUUUAGAGACUAUAACAUUUCCUUUUAUUCACUUUUUUUUUUUUUUUUUUUCAGUGUUUGAAAGAUGUAUGGUGAUCUUGAAACCGCCAGACAGAAGAAAACUUCUAGCAAAUUCAGGGGAAGUUUGUCUACACUCAGGCUGCAGUAUUUUCAGCAAACUUGAUUGGACAAACGGGCCUGUGCCUUAUCUUUUGGUGGAGUGAAAAAAUUUGAGCCAGUGAAGCCAAAUCGUAACUUACAGCAAGCAGCAUGCAGCAUACCUGGCUCUUUGCUGAUUGCAAAUAGGCAUUUAAAAUGUGAAUUUGGAAUCAGAUGUCUCCAUUACUUCCAGUUAAAGUGGCAUCAUAGGUGUUUCCUAAGUUUUAAGUCUUGGAUAAAAACUCCACCAGUGUCUACCAUCUCCACCAUGAACUCUUGUUAAGGAAGCUUCAUUUUUGUAUAUUCCCGCUCUUUUCAUUUCCCUGUCUUCUGCAUAAUCAUGCCUUCUUGCUAAGUAAUUCAAGCAUAAGGUCUUGGAAUAAUAAAAUCACAAUCUUAGGAGAAAGAAUAAAAUUGUUAUUUUCCCAGUCUCUUGGCCAUGAUGAUAUCUUAUGAUUAAAAACAAAUUAAAUUUUAAAACACCUGAAGAUAAAUUAGAAGAAAUUGUGCACCCUCCACAAAACAUACAAAGUUUAAAAGUUUGGAUCUUUUUCUCAGCAGGUAUCAGUUGUAAAUAAUGAAUUAGGGGCCAAAAUGCAAAACGAAAAAUGAAGCAGCUACAUGUAGUUAGUAAUUUCUAGUUUGAACUGUAAUUGAAUAUUGUGGCUUCAUAUGUAUUAUUUUAUAUUGUACUUUUUUCAUUAUUGAUGGUUUGGACUUUAAUAAGAGAAAUUCCAUAGCUUUUAAUAUCCCAGAAGUGAGACAAUUUGAACAGUGUAUUCUAGAAAACAAUACACUAACUGAACAGAAGUGAAUGCUUAUAUAUAUUAUGAUAGCCUUAAACCUUUUUCCUCUAAUGCCUUAACUGUCAAAUAAUUAUAACCUUUUAAAGCAUAGGACUAUAGUCAGCAUGCUAGACUGAGAGGUAAACACUGAUGCAGUUAGAACAGGUACUGAUACUGUCGGUGUUUAACACUAUGUUUAGCUGUGUUUAUGCUAUAAAAGUGCAAUAUUAGACACUAGCUAGUACUGCUGCCUCAUGUAACUCCAAAGAAAACAGGAUUUCAUUAAGUGCAUUGAAUGUGGAUAUUUCUCUAAGUUACUCAUAUUGUCCUUUGCUUGAAUGCAAUGCUGUGCAGAUUUAUGUGGCUGCUAUUUUUAUUUUCUGUGCAUUACUUUAACACCUUAAAGGGAGAAGCAAACAUUUCCUUCUUCAUCUGACUGGCAAUGGCCCUUUAACUGCAAUAGGAAGAAAAAAAAAGGUUUGUGUGAAAAUUGGUGAUAACUGGCACUUAAGAUCGAAAAGAAAUUUCUGUAUACUUGAUGCCUUAAGAUGCCCAAAGCUGCCCAAAGCUCUGAAAGACUUUAAGAUAGGCAGUAAUGCUUACUACAAUACUACUGAAUUUUUGUAGAGUUAACAUUUGAUAAUAAAACUUGCCUGUUUAAUCUCAA